GGGCUUGUGGUCUAGCGGUAUGACAUCUUCUUAGCACUUGGUUUGGAGAAGGUUCUGUGUUCGACUCACAGCUAGUCCA
rnacentral:tRNA from 1 species